rnacentral:rRNA from 1 species
UUAAGUUAAUAAGGGCGCACGGUGGAUGCCUUGGCACUAGGAGCCGAAGAAGGACGUGACAAACGACGAAAUGCCUCGGGGAGCUGUAAGUAAGCUUAGAUCCGGGGGUGUCCGAAUGGGGGAACCCAACAGGUAAUGCCUGUUACCCAUAUCUGUUAAGGAUAUGAGGAGGAAGACGCAGUGAACUGAAACAUCUAAGUAGCUGCAGGAAGAGAAAGCAAAAGCGAUUGCCUUAGUAGCGGCGAGCGAAACGGCAGGAGGGCAAACCGAAGAGUUUACUCUUCGGGGUUGUAGGACUGCAAUGUGGACUUAAAGAUUAUAGAAGAAUGACAUGGGAAGGUCAGCCAAAGAGAGUAAGAGCCUCGUAUUCGAAAUAGUCUUUAUACCUAGCAGUAUCCUGAGUACGGCGGGACACGAGAAAUCCCGUCGGAAUCUGGGAGGACCAUCUCCCAACCCUAAAUACUCUCUAGUGACCGAUAGUGAACCAGUACCGUGAGGGAAAGGUGAAAAGCACCCCGGGAGGGGAGUGAAAUAGAACCUGAAACCGUGUGCCUACAACAAGUUCGAGCCCGUUAAUGGGUGAGAGCGUGCCUUUUGUAGAAUGAACCGGCGAGUUACGAUAUGAUGCGAGGUUAAGUUGAAGAGACGGAGCCGUAGGGAAACCGAGUCUGAAUAGGGCGCUUUAGUAUUAUGUCGUAGACCCGAAACCAUGUGACCUACCCAUGAGCAGGUUGAAGGUGCGGUAAAACGCACUGGAGGACCGAACCAGGGCACGUUGAAAAGUGCUUGGAUGACUUGUGGGUAGCGGAGAAAUUCCAAACGAACUUGGAGAUAGCUGGUUCUCUCCGAAAUAGCUUUAGGGCUAGCGUCGACAUUAGAGAUUCUUGGAGGUAGAGCACUGUUUGGGUGAGGGGUCCAUCCCGGAUUACCAAUCUCAGAUAAACUCCGAAUGCCAAUGAAUUAUGGUCGGCAGUCAGACUGCGAGUGCUAAGAUCCGUAGUCGAAAGGGAAACAGCCCAGACCACCAGCUAAGGUCCCAAAAUAAUUGUUAAGUGGAAAAGGAUGUGGGGUUGCACAGACAACUAGGAUGUUAGCUUAGAAGCAGCUAUUCAUUCAAAGAGUGCGUAAUAGCUCACUAGUCGAGUGACCCUGCGCCGAAAAUGUACCGGGGCUAAAACAAUUUACCGAAGCUGUGGAUACCUUUAUAGGUAUGGUAGGAGAGCGUUCUAUGUGUGAAGAAGGUAUACCGUGAGGAGUGCUGGAACGCAUAGAAGUGAGAAUGCCGGUAUGAGUAGCGAAAGACAGGUGAGAAUCCUGUCCACCGUAAGACUAAGGUUUCCAGGGGAAGGCUCGUCCGCCCUGGGUUAGUCGGGACCUAAGGAGAGACCGAAAGGUGUAUCCGAUGGACAACAGGUUGAUAUUCCUGUACUAGAGUAUGUAGUGAUGGAGGGACGCAGUAGGCUAACUAAAGCAGACGAUUGGAAGAGUCUGUCUAAGCAGUGAGGUGUGAUAUGAGUCAAAUGCUUAUAUCUGUAACAUUGAGCUGUGAUGGGGAGCGAAGUUUAGUAGCGAAGUUAGUGACGUCACACUGCCAAGAAAAGCUUCUAGCGUUUAAACAUACUCUACCCGUACCGCAAACCGACACAGGUAGUCGAGGCGAGUAGCCUCAGGUGAGCGAGAGAACUCUCGUUAAGGAACUCGGCAAAAUGACCCCGUAACUUCGGGAGAAGGGGUGCUGGCUUAAAGUCAGCCGCAGUGAAUAGGCCCAAGCAACUGUUUAUCAAAAACACAGCUCUCUGCUAAAUCGUAAGAUGAUGUAUAGGGGGUGACGCCUGCCCGGUGCUGGAAGGUUAAGAGGAGUGCUUAGCGCAAGCGAAGGUAUGAAUUGAAGCCCCAGUAAACGGCGGCCGUAACUAUAACGGUCCUAAGGUAGCGAAAUUCCUUGUCGGGUAAGUUCCGACCCGCACGAAAGGCGUAAUGAUUUGGGCACUGUCUCAACGAGAGACUCGGUGAAAUUUUAGUACCUGUGAAGAUGCAGGUUACCCGCGACAGGACGGAAAGACCCCAUGGAGCUUUACUGCAGUUUGAUAUUGAGUGUCUGUACCACAUGUACAGGAUAGGUAGGAGUCUAUGAGAUCGGGACGCCAGUUUCGAAGGAGACGAUGUUGGGAUACUACCCUUGUGUUAUGGCCACUCUAACCCAGAUAGGUGAUCCCUAUCGGAGACAGUGUCUGACGGGCAGUUUGACUGGGGCGGUCGCCUCCUAAAAGGUAACGGAGGCGCCCAAAGGUUCCCUCAGAAUGGUUGGAAAUCAUUCGCAGAGUGUAAAGGUAUAAGGGAGCUUGACUGCGAGAGCUACAACUCGAGCAGGGACGAAAGUCGGGCUUAGUGAUCCGGUGGUUCCGCAUGGAAGGGCCAUCGCUCAACGGAUAAAAGCUACCCUGGGGAUAACAGGCUUAUCUCCCCCAAGAGUUCACAUCGACGGGGAGGUUUGGCACCUCGAUGUCGGCUCAUCGCAUCCUGGGGCUGAAGUCGGUCCCAAGGGUUGGGCUGUUCGCCCAUUAAAGCGGUACGCGAGCUGGGUUCAGAACGUCGUGAGACAGUUCGGUCCCUAUCCGUCGCGGGCGUUGGAAAUUUGAGAGGAGCUGUCCUUAGUACGAGAGGACCGGGAUGGACACACCGCUGGUGUACCAGUUGUUCUGCCAAGAGCAUCGCUGGGUAGCUAUGUGUGGACGGGAUAAACGCUGAAAGCAUCUAAGCGUGAAGCCCCCCUCGAGAUGAGAUUUCCCAUCAUUUUAAAUGAGUAAGACCCCUGAGAGACGAUCAGGUAGAUAGGCUAGAAGUGGAAGUGCCGCGAGGCAUGGAGCGGACUAGUACUAAUCGGUCGAGGACUUAACCAC